CACGUGUAGGGGCGUGUUGAGAAUUGCUUGGCUACACGUGCGGGGCGUGUUGAGAAUUGUUUUCUGAAAGACUAUACAGAGAGAGUUGAUCAAAAAGAUAAACGACUACACAGAGAGGAGACACUUACUGCUGAUUGAUCAAGUAAUAGAGAUAAUGGAGCAGACCGUUUGUAUGAUAGUGAGUAGGAGGAGAAACACAGCUGCAUUGUCGUCUAUUUUUUUCGGCAGCAUCUUCUAUUGAUGAAUUAUUUCAAUGAACCGAAGAGGGUGCUCUUUUUGAUUUGGAGAGUUUCCAGUUUAAAACAGAGAAGGAAGGUUUAAAACUUCGCCGCGAUGUUGUAGCAGAAGGUAAUGUGAGUUCUGGAGAGAUGCCCCAACCCGUAUAAUAUCCCGGCUAUCUGGUCAAGAAGAGAUGUUUGCUUUCCGUCCAGCAGUGUUGCGCUUGAUUGAAAUGCAGACACCGGUAUAUCUAGAGGAGUCCAUAGUCCUCAUCCUUAUUUCCAGAAACAACGCCGAGAAUUUGAAAGUAUAUCUUCACGGAACAUACAGUAGCAGUCGUCAUACUAAGCCGCAGAAUUGUUGUAUCAAUGUUGCUUCUUCCUGUACAUUUUAUGAUUUUUCAUUCAUUUUUAUCUCGUUACGGUAUGAACUAAUACGAAGCCAGGCCUACAGGUAAAAAAAAAAAAAGGAAAUCCUACGGAGUCUGAAUUUGCCAUUACUCAACAGUUGACACUAUAUAUCAAAAAACGUUGGUUCUUCAUUCUUUAUUUCUUAUCUGCAAUUUUAAGCACGGCGAAGGAUUUCUACGUGAAUGGUGCAGUGUAAAUGAUAUUUUUGGAAUAAUAAUAACAAUAUAGUUUCAACAAAAAAAAGUUACAAAUCUUCAACAAAACAAACAAACUAGCGAACACAAGGACAUAGCUUGUGGAAAUAAUUCCUUGCUACUAAGUGUUUUUUUAACGAAUUCAUUGCAACUAAGUUUUUUUUUUUUUAACAAAUUCAUUACAACUAAAUUUGAAUUCUCUUUUUUGUA